rnacentral:rRNA from 1 species
AUUGAACGCUGGCGGCAGGCCUAACACAUGCAAGUCGAGCGGAUGAAGGGAGCUUGCUUCUGGAUUCAGCGGCGGACGGGUGAGUAAUGCCUAGGAAUCUGCCUGGUAGUGGGGGAUAACGUCCGGAAACGGGCGCUAAUACCGCAUACGUCCUGAGGGAGAAAGUGGGGGAUCUUCGGACCUCACGCUAUCAGAUGAUCCUAGGUCGGAUUAGCUAGUUGGUGGGGUAAAGGCCUACCAAGGCGACGAUCCGUAACUGGUCUGAGAGGAUGAUCCGUCACACUGGAACUGAAACACGGUCCAGACUCCUACGGGAGGCAGCAGUGGGGAAUAUUGGACAAUGGGCGAAAGCCUGAUCCAGCCAUGCCGCGUGUGUGAAGAAGGUCUUCGGAUUGUAAAGCACUUUAAGUUGGGAGGAAGGGCAGUAAGUUAAUACCUUGCUGUUUUGACGUUACCAACAGAAUAAGCACCGGCUAACUUCGUG